UUAUUAGGGCCUGAUCCAAAGCCCAUGGAAAUCAAUUGGAGUUUUACUAUUGAUAUCAGCAGGCUUUGGAUCAGGUCUUUAAUAG
rnacentral:pre_miRNA from 1 species